UACGUAGGGACGAGCGUUGUCCGGAAUUACUGGGCGUAAAGGGCGCGCAGGCUGUAGAUCAAGUCAGCUGUGAAAUGUCUGGGCUUAACCCGGGCAUGCGGUUGAAACUGAUGUACUGGAGUGCUGUAGAGGCAAGUGGAAUUCCCAGUGUAGCGGUGAAAUGCGUAGAUAUUGGGAAGAACACCGGUGGCGAAGGCGACUUGCUGGGCAGCAACUGACGCUGAGGCGCGAAAGCCAGGGGAGCAAACGGGGAUUAGA
rnacentral:rRNA from 1 species